rnacentral:rRNA from 1 species
AUUGAACGCUGGCGGCAGGCCUAACACAUGCAAGUCGAACGGUAACAGGAAGAAGCUUGCUUCUUUGCUGACGAGUGGCGGACGGGUGAGGAAUGUCUGGGAAACUGCCUGAUGGAGGGGGAUAACUACUGGAAACGGUAGCUAAUACCGCAUAACGUCGCAAGACCAAAGAGGGGGACCUUCGGGCCUCUUGCCAUCGGAUGUGCCCAGAUGGGAUUAGCUAGUAGGUGGGGUAACGGCUCACCUAGGCGACGAUCCCUAGCUGGUCUGAGAGGAUGACCAGCCACACUGGAACUGAGACACGGUCCAGACUCCUACGGGAGGCAGCCGUGGGGAAUAUUGCACGAUGGGCGCAAGCCUGAUGCAGCCAUGCCGCGUGUAUGAAGAAGGCCUUCGGGUUGUAAAGUACUUUCAGCGGGGAGGAAGGGAGUAAAGUUAAUACCUUUGCUCAUUGACGUUACCCGCAGAAGAAGCACCGGCUAACUCCGUG